UAGUCCACGCCGUAAACGAUGACAACUAGCCGUUGGACUCCUUGAGGGUUUAGUGGCGCAGCUAACGCGAUAAGUUGUCCGCCUGGGGAGUACGGCCGCAAGGUUAAAACUCAAAUGAAUUGACGGGGACCCGCACAAGCGGUGGAGCAUGUUGUUUAAUUCGAUGCAACGCGAAGAACCUUACCUACACUUGACAUCCCAAGAAGGCCUCUUAAUCGAGGUUGUGCUCUUCGGAGAACUUGGUGACAGGUGCUGCAUGGCUGUCGUCAGCUCGUGUCGUGAGAUGUUCGGUUAAGUCCGGCAACGAGCGCAACCCUUAUCCUUAGUUGCCAGCGGGUUAUGCCGGGAACUCUAAGGAGACUGCCGAUGCAAGUCGGAGGAAGGUGGGGAUGACGUCAAGUCCUCAUGGCCCUUAUGUGUAGGGCUACACACGUGCUACAAUGGGUAAUACAAAGGGUCGCCAACCUGCGAAGGGGAGCCAAUCCCCAAAAAGUUAUCCUCAGUUCGGAUCGCAGUCUG
rnacentral:rRNA from 1 species